rnacentral:lncRNA from 1 species
AAGAGCAUGUCUCAUGCUUCAAACAACUAAGACAAUGUUUAACUUGAAAACUAAACACUCCACUAUCAGACUUCAGCUGCAAGCUACAAAUAACAGGGAUGCAAGCUAAGAAAAGAUAGAAACAAACGAGAGCCCUAGUUCACGAACAAAAUAUCAACUAAAACAACUAAAAUCAAAGACAUUUACCUUUGAGAGAGCAGCGAAACANNN